GCCAGACUCCUACGGGAGGCAGCAGUGGGGAAUAUUGCACAAUGGGGGAAACCCUGAUGCAGCGACGCCGCGUGAGCGAUGAAGUAUUUCGGUAUGUAAAGCUCUCUCAGCAGGGAAGAAAAUGACGGUACCUGACUAAGAAGCCCCGGCUAACUACGUGCCAGCAGCCGCGGUAAUACGUAGGGGGCAAGCGUUAUCCGGAUUUACUGGGUGUAAAGGGAGCGUAGACGGCAGCGCAAGUCCGAAGUGAAAGCCCGGGGCCCAACCCCGGGACUGCUUUGGAAACUGUGAAGCUGGAGUGCGGGAGGGGCAGGCGGAAUUCCUGGUGUAGCGGUGAAAUGCGUAGAUAUCAGGAGGAACACCGGCGGCGAAGGCGGCCUGCUGGACCGUAACUGACGUUGAGGCUCGAAAGCGUGGGGAGCAAACAGGAUUAGAUACCCUCGUA
rnacentral:rRNA from 1 species